rnacentral:tRNA from 1 species
UGGCUCAGUGGUAGAGUGCUUGCCUUACAUGCAUGAGGCCUUGGGUUCAAUGUCUCAG